rnacentral:rRNA from 1 species
UACGUAGGGUGCAAGCGUUGUCCGGAAUUAUUGGGCGUAAAGAGCUCGUAGGCGGUUUGUCGCGUCUGUCGUGAAAGCUUGGGGCUUAACCCCAAGUCUGCGGUGGAUACGGGCAGACUAGAGGCAGGUAGGGGAGAACGGAAUUCCCGGUGUAGCGGUGAAAUGCGCAGAUAUCGGGAGGAACACCGGUGGCGAAGGCGGUUCUCUGGGCCGUAACUGACGCUGAGGAGCGAAAGCAUGGGGAGCGAACAGG